UAGGGAAUAUUGGACAAUGGGGGCAACCCUGAUCCAGCCAUGCCGCGUGAGUGAAGAAGGCCCUCGGGUUGUAAAGCUCUUUUGUCCGGAAAGAAAAGCUUCGGGUUAAUACCCCGGGGUUCUGACGGUACCGGAAGAAUAAGCACCGGCUAACUUCGUGCCAGCAGCCGCGGUAAUACGAAGGGUGCAAGCGUUACUCGGAAUUACUGGGCGUAAAGCGUGCGUAGGUGGUUGUUUAAGUCUGAUGUGAAAGCCCUGGGCUCAACCUGGGAAUGGCAUUGGAAACUGGGCAGCUAGAGUGCGGUAGAGGGUAGUGGAAUUCCCGGUGUAGCAGUGAAAUGCGUAGAGAUCGGGAGGAACAUCUGUGUCGAAGGCGACUGCCUGGACCAGCACUGACACUGAGGCACGAAAGCGUGGGGA
rnacentral:rRNA from 1 species